UUGCACUUUGAUUUGUUUUCAUUGUAUAAAGUGUGGACCAAUUUCACAGGAUAAAGAAGUCUAAGCCUAAAGUCAUCAUGGUUGAGGUUGAUAGUAUAUCUGCUGGUGAUAGCGGUGGAGCUGCUGAUCUUAUUGCAAGAUUCCUAUAGUUUGCAUUUGUAAUGGCAGUUAUAGCAGGAAGCUGAAGAGCACUAUAAAUUACCUAUUUGGUACUCAACUUCAGGAAACCAACAAAUUAGCAGAUACAAGUCCGCUUGCAAUUUUUGGGAGAAUAAACAGUUCCUUUGGGUUCAUCGCUCGGUUUUGUCCCUGCUAUGCUUACUGCUCCUACAUGGCUCUUCAGGGUUAUGGAUGGAGUGCGUUAUUUCGACGGUCCUCUAUUUUUUUUGUUGCGUGUGCCUUCAGGUCCAUCAGGUAUAAGGCGAGUUGUGUCCCUGGUAGAGGUGCAGAUCAAGGAGGUCAACAAAUGGGAUGAUGUUGGGUGACGUUCACUAAGGAGGAAAAAGGUGUAGGGGUCGUUGUUUUUUUGGCGAUGGCAGCGGCAUACUUCCUUGAGCGAAGAAAGGAAUCCCCAGCCUGAAGCUUCGCACAGAUUUUGCCUAUUCUCUGAGAUGGAUGAUGAUGAGCGGUGCAACCGAAAAUUCAGAGCUGAGCUUUACACACUUCAGUGGGAGUGGCAUGACAACACCAAGGUAGAGACCUGAAGAGAAGCACAGGGACAGACCAAGGAAACUAGAACCACGCUGUCGUGAUGUGGGCCGUGUCGUCUUCGUCCAUCUCCAUGGAGGUAUAUAUAAAUAUAUAGGUUAGGUAUAGGAAAUGAGACCAUCUCCAUGGAACUCUGACUGAUGUGUAAUGUCCUCAUAGGACCUGACCGACCAAACUAAACAUUCACUCA